AUUACCUACGGGGGGCAGCAGUGAGGAAUAUUGGUCAAUGGUCGGGGGACUGAACCAGCCAAGCCGCGUGGGGGAGGAAGGUACAGAGUACCGUAAACCUCUUUUGUCAGGGAACAAAGGCGGGGACGUGUCCCCGGAUGAGUGUACCUGAAGAAAAAGCAUCGGCUAACUCCGUGCCAGCAGCCGCGGUAAUACGGAGGAUGCGAGCGUUAUCCGGAUUUAUUGGGUUUAAAGGGUGCGCAGGCGGUCUGUUAAGUCAGCGGUCAAAGCCCGGGGCUCAACCCCGGCCCGCCGUUGAACCGGGG
rnacentral:rRNA from 1 species